rnacentral:rRNA from 1 species
CGGGACGGGUGAGUAACGCGUGGGUAACCUGCCUUAUACAGGGGGAUAACAGUCAGAAAUGGCUGCUAAUACCGCAUAAGCGCACAGAGCUGCAUGGCUCGGUGUGAAAAACUCCGGUGGUAUAAGAUGGACCCGCGUUGGAUUAGCUUGUUGGUGGGGUAACGGCCCACCAAGGCGACGAUCCAUAGCCGGCCUGAGAGGGUGAACGGCCACAUUGGGACUGAGACACGGCCCAG